rnacentral:rRNA from 1 species
CCUGGUGGUUAUGGCGGAGCGGCUGCACCCGAUCCCAUUCCGAACUCGGCCGUGAAACGCUCCAGCGCCAAUGGUACUUUGUCU